UACAGAGGUCUCGAGCGUUGUUCGGAUUCAUUGGGCGUAAAGGGCGCGUAGGUGGCACCGUAAGUCGGGUGUGAAAUCCUGAGGCUUAACCUCGGAACUGCAUUCGAUACUGCGGUGCUUGAGGACUGGAGAGGAGACUGGAAUUCAUGGUGUAGCAGUGAAAUGCGUAGAGAUCAUGAGGAAGACCAGUGGCGAAGGCGGGUCUCUGGACAGUUCCUGACACUGAGGCACGAAGGCCAGGGGAGCAAACGGG
rnacentral:rRNA from 1 species